rnacentral:tRNA from 1 species
AUUGCUAUAGUAUAAAAAGUAUAAUUGUUUUAAGAUCAGUUGGUUGUUUAGUAAUU